UCACCCUCUCUUAUAUCUAUCACAAUUUAUAUCUUCCACCAUUUUAACUCACUACAGUUUAUGGGCUUCACUAUUUUAAAUCUAACACCUCCCAAAUUACCUUGCUUUUAAAUACUUUGAAUAUAUUUUUAUAUAGUCACGUUUAUGUUGAUCUAUAUAUUUCUAUAUGUAGUUAUUAUCUCCCCUAUUAGAAUGUAGGGAGAAUUUAAUUUUUUAUACUUGUAUUCCAAGUGCCUAGUAUAAGAUCUGGAUAAAUAAAUACUGUAAAGAUUAAAUUUAACUCUCCCCUAAUUGUGAAAAUGAAAAUUAAUUAACUCUCCCUUGAUUGUAAAGAUUAAAUCAACUCCCAUGCCCAUUUUUCUAUUUAAUCACCAAAAGUGUAAACACCUAACUUACAGUUCAGUGGGGAGGUCUGUGACCCACACGUGCAAUAGUGGGUGAUGAAUCAGAAUUGACUUACUGCCCCUGGGCAAUCCUAAGCAAGGCUUUAGAUUCUGAUUUGCCCAUGUAAAAAGUGGAAGAAGGCACAGGAAGUGAUGCAAAUGAAAUUGUCUUUAAAAGGGAGUUACAACUUCCUCUGGGGGAGAAUCUUCUGAGAUUCGUGGGAGAUUCAUCUGGGAUUUGUCUGAGAUCUUCAGAGAGACUGCUUCUUCAGAGAGUUCUUGAGUUCUUCAUGCUUGGGACUUCUGACUGCUCACAUUCUUCUGGAGUUCUGAGUUUGAGUUGGAGACUGGUAAAGAAUCUGCUGACUGGAUCUGAUACCCUGUACAUGGAAAUGGGAUCAAAAAAGGAGCACACACUUCAUCUACAUAGUGCCAUAGAAGCACGAAUUUAACCUGAAUAGUGCCACUGGUCAAAAAGGAAACCAAUCCAGGUGGGAUUGAUGAACUUCUAUGCCAAUACAAAAGGACUUGAACCUAGUGUGAAACUCGAGGAUGUGGUGCUUGACAUAUGUUAAGAUGCAGGACUCUUUGAACCACACUCCUUAUGAAAUACUUUCUAUCAAAAGUACCUAACAAUUGUCUGUUCUGGCUCCCUUAUCCCUGAGAAAUGAUGAAAAAUCAGACCAGGGCAUGACACUUUCCUUUUUACACAAAAAUCUAGUCCUUUUUUCUCUCUUAUAGUAUGGCAACUUCCUGUAGCCCUGGUUUAUAAUUGGUAUAUACAAUAUUACUAUUUUUUUUUCCUACAGAUUUGUGGGACAGAAAUUUACUUUAAUUAGACCCU
rnacentral:lncRNA from 1 species